UAUUUUUUAGGGUUCCGUAGCCAAAUGGCAAAAAACGGAACCCUUAUGGAUUCGUCAUGUCUGUCUGUCUGUCUGUCCGUCCGUAUGUCACAGCCACUUUUUUCCGAAACUAUAAGCACUAUACUGUUGAAACUUGGUAAGUAGAUGUAUUCUGUGAACCGCAUUAAGAUUUUCACACAAAAAUAGAAAAAAAAAACAAUAAAUUUUUAGUUUCAGUUGUAAGUAUGGGGAACCCCCAAAAUUUAUUGUUUUUUUUCUAUUUUUGUGUGAAACUCUUAAAGCGGUUCAUAGAAUACAUCUACUUACCAAGUUUCAA